rnacentral:rRNA from 1 species
CGGGGGGCUGCAGUGGGGAAUCUUGCGCAAUGGGCGAAAGCCUGACGCAGCCAUGCCGCGUGAAUGAUGAAGGUCUUAGGAUUGUAAAAUUCUUUCACCGGGGACGAUAAUGACGGUACCCGGAGAAGAAGCCCCGGCUAACUUCGUGCCAGCAGCCGCGGUAAUACGAAGGGGGCUAGCGUUGCUCGGAAUUACUGGGCGUAAAGGGAGCGUAGGCGGACAUUUAAGUCAGGGGUGAAAUCCCGGGGCUCAACCUCGGAAUUGCCUUUGAUACUGGGUGUCUUGAGUAUGAGAGAGGUGUGUGGAACUCCGAGUGUAGAGGUGAAAUUCGUAGAUAUUCGGAAGAACACCAGUGGCGAAGGCGACACACUGGCUCAUUACUGACGCUGAGGCUCGAAAGCGUGGGGAGCAAACAGGAUUAGAUACCCGAGUAGUC